rnacentral:tRNA from 1 species
UCUCUGGUAGCUCAGAUGGUAAAGCAUCUGCCUGCAAUGCAGAAGACCUAGGUUUGAUCCCUAGUUCAGGAA